rnacentral:rRNA from 1 species
UAACGGCGAGUGAAGCGGCAACAGCUCAAAUUUGAAAUCUGGUCCCUAGGGCCCGAGUUGUAAUUUGUAGAGGAUGCUUUUGGUGAGGUGCCGCCCGAGUUCCCUGGAACGGGACGCCACAGAGGGUGAGAGCCCCGUCUGGCUGGCCGCCGAGCCUCUGUAAAGCUCCUUCGACGAGUCGAGUAGUUUGGGAAUGCUGCUCAAAAUGGGAGGUAUAUGUCUUCUAAAGCUAAAUAUUGGCCAGAGACCGAUAGCGCACAAGUAGAGUGAUCGAAAGAUGAAAAGCACCUUGAAAAGAGGGUUAAAUAGUACGUGAAAUUGUUGAAAGGGAAGCGCUUGUGACCAGACUUGGGCGCGGCGGAUCAUCCGGGGUUCUCUCCGGUGCACUUCGCCGCGUCUAGGCCAGCAUCAGUUCGUCGCGGGGGAAAAAGGCUUCGGGAACGUGGCUCCUCCGGGAGUGUUAUAGCCCGUUGCAUAAUACCCUGCGGUGGACUGAGGACCGCGCAUCUGCAAGGAUGCUGGCGUAAUGGUCACCAGCGACCCGUCUUGAAACACGGACCAAGGAGUCGUCUUCGUAUGCGAGUGUUCGGGUGUCAAACCCCUACGCGUAAUGAAAGUGAACGCAGGUGAGAGCUUCGGCGCAUCAUCGACCGAUCCUGAUGUUCUCGGAUGGAUUUGAGUAAGAGCAUACGGGGCCGGACCCGAAAGAAGGUGAACUAUGCCUGUAUAGGGUGAAGCCAGAGGAAACUCUGGUGGAGGCUCGCAGCGGUUCUGACGUGCAAAUCGAUCGUCAAAUAUGGGCAUGGGGGCGAAAGACUAAUCGAACCUUCUAGUAGCUGGUUUCCGCCGAAGUUUCCCUCAGGAUAGCAGUGUUGAGCUCAGUUUUAUGAGGUAAAGCGAAUGAUUAGGGACCCGGGGGCGCUAUAUUGCCUUCAUCCAUUCUCAAACUUUAAAUAUGUAAGAAGCCCUUGUUACUUAGUUGAACGUGGGCAUUCGAAUGUAUCAACACUAGUGGGCCAUUUUUGGUAAGCAGAACUGGCGAUGCGGGAUGAACCGAACGCGAGGUUAAGGUGCCAGAGUAGACGCUCAUCAGACACCACAAAAGGCGUUAGUACAUCUUGACAGCAGGACGGUGGCCAUGGAAGUCGGAAUCCGCUAAGGACUGUGUAACAACUCACCUGCCGAAUGUACUAGCCCUGAAAAUGGAUGGCGCUCAAGCGUCUCACCCAUACCUCGCCCUCGGGGUAGAAACGAUGCCCCGAGGAGUAGGCGGACGUGGAGGUCGUGACG